GACGAACGCUGGCGGCGUGCCUAACACAUGCAAGUCGAGCGAAGUGAGUACUACGGUACGAACUUAGCGGCGGACGGGUGAGUAACGCGUGGGCAAUCUACCCUGUAGACUGGGAUAACACCUCGAAAGGGGUGCUAAUACCGGAUAAUGUCGAGAAGCGGCAUCGCUUUUCGAAGAAAGGAGAGAAUCCGCUAUAGGAGGAGUCCGCGUCCCAUUAGCUAGUUGGUGAGGGUAACGGCCCACCAAGGCGACGAUGGGUAGCCGGCCUGAGAGGGUGAACGGCCACACUGGAACUGAGACACGGUCCAGACUCCUACGGGAGGCAGCAGUGGGGAAUAUUGUGCAAUGGGGGAAACCCUGACACAGCAACGCCGCGUGAGCGAAGAAGGCCUUCGGGUUGUAAAGCUCAAUAGUAUGGGAAGAUAAUGACGGUACCAUACGAAAGCCCCGGCUAACUACGUGCCAGCCGCCGCGGUAA
rnacentral:rRNA from 1 species